UCAAGGUUGAUUUGACUUUGUUAGGUUAAGAUCAUUAGAUUUAGGGGAUUAAUGGAAUGUACAUUCCAUCUCCCAAAAUGAAUGAAUGAUCUUAACUUGGUAAAAGUCCUCCCUUGUCUGAUUUGAGUUUGAUCCACUUCCCCUCCCUCUUCAUCUCAUUUCCCUUCUUUAUGCAUUCAUGUCAUGGACCAAUGAUAUCUCUAUAUCCUAAGGCUAGUUGAUUGCAAAAUCAAUAUAAGUAUGGAUGAG
rnacentral:lncRNA from 1 species